rnacentral:rRNA from 2 species
AUAGCUGCAGCUCGAGUGGUGACCACUAUUAUUGGGCCUAAAACGUCCGUAGCCGGUCUAGUAAAUGCCUGGGUAAAUCGUGCCGCUUAACGGUACGAAUUCCGGGUAGACUGCUAGACUUGAGAUCGGGAGAGGUUAGAGGUACUCCUGGGGUAGAGGUGAAAUUCUGUAAUCCUGGGAGGACCACCUGUGGCGAAAGCGUCUAACCAGAACGAGUCUGACGGUGAGGGACGAAGCCCUGGGUCACAAACCGGAUUAGAUACCCGGGUAGUCCAGGGUGUAAACGCUGCUUGCUUGAUGUUAGUUGGGCUACGAGCCCAACUAGUGUCGGAGAGAAGUUGUUAAGCAAGCUGCCUGGGAAAUACGGUCGCAAGGCUGAA